AGAAGUCAAAGAAGAUACAAAUAAGUAAAAGCAUAUAUGGUGUACACAGAUAAGAAGAUAACAUCAUUAAAAUGUCCAAUGGCAUAUUUCAGAGAGCUACAACUAAUAUCUCAAAAAUUUGUAUGGAAGUACAAAAAAAAAAUAAAAAAGAAAAGAAAAAACCAACACACACACAAACACACACACACACACACACACACACACACGCGCGCGCGCACAAAUAAAUCAAACAAAAUAAAACUAAACCAGUAGCCACAGUGAUCUUGAGAAAGAAGAACAAAGUUGGAGGAACCCAGCAGCAGAUAAGCGGAGACAAAGCUGUGCUACAUUAACACAACGGAAUACUACUCACCCACACACAAAAAAAGGAAACCUUACCUUUUGGAACAGCAUGGAUGGAGCUGAAAAAUAGCACAUUGUGAAACAUGCUACAACCUGCAUGGAUCCUGAAGACAUGACUCUCAGGGAAAUAAGCCAGUCACAGAAAGACAAAUACUGUGUGAUCACUCUCACAUGAGAUCCCUGGAGCCGUCACAGUCAUAGACAGAGGAACACUGGGCCAGGGUCCUGUCGACAGAGCAGAGUCACUUCUCCGUGUCUUGGUUGGGUCCAGGGCACAGUGCCAAGGAGAGACGCUACCCCAGGACAAGGAUGAAGGAAGGCAGCAUUGUCGUUGGAAGAAGCGCCUUUUAAUCAUCUACAGAUCACAACUGCAGAAACAACACUUAUGCUCCGUUAAAGAUGGCUCCAAUUUACCUGUCAACUAGACUGGGAGACGAAAAAAAGUAACUCUGAACAGUCACAUCAUUCUGGAGCCACAGGAUGGAGCAAGCCAAUGGCCAGCUGUCCACCCAAUGAUGACAACAGGAUUUCAGGACAGAAUAGUGACUGUGGACUCCAGAGAGAAACAGCAGUGGGCUGACUUGGGAUAGAAGUGAGAACCUGACGAGUGACCAGCACAGUGUUUCCCCGGAAAACCAUCCUGUUAUAAGAAGCUUCCACACAGCUCAUGGGGGAAAGGAAUCUAAGGUUCUGAGAGAACCAGAGCUUCUAGCAGAAGGACCUGGAAGGUGGCUGAGAUGCAGGGGGAGAGGAGCUGUGGGUGAGCUGGGCCUGCUCAGAGCACACCCCAGAGGCCAGCAUAGGCUCUGUGCACACUGGUGUUGAGGUCACCUCCAGAGCUGCUGAGACAGAAGUGAGGUGUGAACUUCAUAUGCUCACAGACUGACACAGUGGGCUCUCACCUCUGCCACUCAGUGGUGGGAAGACAGACUGUGGAGCCAGUCCAGUAGGGGCAGCACAUCCAUCACCAGCCUCCUCUGAAGUCUGGAAGGAGAAAGAAACUGCAUGUGAACAGGCACAGGGGUCAAGGGCAAGAGGCCAGGGCUGUAGAGCCCCAGCCUGCAGUCCCACCACACCCUGCACUUUACUUUCAAGUACAAGCUCAUUUUUGCAAAUAGCACAUUUUUGCAACAGUAAGAAUUGUAGGUUUGACUUUGAAGAAAAAACUAACUCAAAUUACAUUAGAGAUUUCAA